AUUGAACGCUGGCUACAGGCUUAACACAUGCAAGUCGAGCGAGCGGCGGGCGGGUGAGUGAUGUCUGGGAACCUGCCUGAUGGAGGGGGAUAACUACUGGAAACGGUAGCUAAUACCGCCUACCAGCAGAUGUGCCCAGAUGGGAUUAGCUAGUAGGUUGGGUAGUGGCUCACCUAGGCGACGAUCCCUAGCUGGUCUGAGAGGAUGACCAGCCACACCGCAACGGAGACAAGGCCCAGACUCCAACGGGAGGCAGCAGUGGGGAAUAUUGUAUAAGGGGCGCAAGCCUGAUGCAGCCAUGCCGCGUGUGUGAAGAAGGCCUUCGGGUUGUAAAGCACGUUCAGCGAGGAGGCGGUACUCGCAGAAGAAGCACCGGCUAACUCCGUGCCAGCAGCCGCGGUAAUUC
rnacentral:rRNA from 1 species